rnacentral:lncRNA from 1 species
AUGGAUUUGGUGGCUCUGUGGUGUCAGGAACCUAUGUCUGUCUGGGAGCAUGGCUCACUGUUCCAUCCUUGUAGAGUUUCUACUGGGUCUCCGGAGUAAGUUUCACUCACCCAAAAAACAAGCUGCCUUUCAUGGUCCCCACACUAGAGGACAUUGAAUGUCUUUGUAAUAGGAAGUACUGCUCAUUAAUAUCUGUAAGGUAGAAUAUGAAAACAAUGUACACUUUCAGGAUUGUUCUACAUUGAGUGAGAUGUAAAACACAGCUUUGUUACUUAGAUUAUGACCUAAUAUGUGAGAUUAUAACUUGAUAACCUUUAGGCAGAGGGUGAGCUAUGUCUUGAGAAAAUUCUAUUUUGUUAUGUGAAGAGAGUUUAAGAAGAGCAGUAUCCUAGCUGACUACGUGCCUUGUGCUUAGUUGGCUUGUCUGCAAUCAUUCUUACUUUUUCUAUCUCAUACUUAUAAUGGUUCUCCGUGAGAGGUUUCAUUUCUCUGACUCCAGUGUCAUUCCAGUUUCUUUUAUACCUUUAAUAUCUCCUUCCCAUGACUCUAUCUUUUGAACUUUAAAUCUCCUCACAAGUCUCUCAUCUUUGCACAUUUUUCUAGAUUAAACAAAAAAAAAACAAAAAAAAAUUUACACUAUAUCUGAGCUGCUUUCAUUUUGUUACAUGAGAAAGUUUAUAGUAUUGAUAUAAUUUGCUUCUGAGUUAGUACACAAUAAUUGUUUAAAUUGUACAGACAAGAGUGGAUCUUGAUUUUAAUAUUUUUAUUCAAAUUUAUAUAUAUAUAGGGAUAAUGUCACUUUUUUUCUGGUGCUGAAUGCAACAGACAUAGGAAUUGAAAAAAGAAAACAAAUGUUAGAAAGAGCAAUAAGUGCUUUAAUAAAGAUGUGUUUUUUCUAAAAUUUUUAUGAUAUUUUUGUGAAACCAGCAUAUAUUUUUAUGUUAUAUGUUGGUAAAGCAGGGUCAAAGAGUGGAGCAGAGACUGAAGGAAAGGACAUCCAGAGACUGUCCCACCUGGGGACCCAUCCCAUAUGCAGCCACCAAACCCAGACACUAUUGCUGAUACUGAGAAGGGUUUGCUUAUAGGAGCCUGUCAUAGGUGUCCCCUGAGAGGUUCUGCCAGAAGCUGACCUAUACAGAUGUGAAGACUCACAGCCAACUAUCAGGUUGAGCACUGGGACCCCAAUGGAAGAG